rnacentral:misc_RNA from 1 species
ACUGCGAAUGCGCUGACGACAAGUACUCCCAGGAAAACCACGAUCAAGGUGAUCGUUUCUUUUCUGUUUUUAGGAUUCAAACUAAGCACGUCGCUCGUCCUCUGGAGCCUCUGCGUCAGCACUAUG